rnacentral:tRNA from 1 species
GGGUCGGUACCAAAGUAGUCAACUGGGGCAGACUGUAAAUCUGCUGGCGUUAGCCUUCGCAGGUGCAAAUCCUGCCCGGCCCACCA